CCAACAAGAAGGAAUAGCUGCGUCUCCCACUCAGCCAGGCUGCGGUACACAUUAAGCAUUUGGGGCCACCCUUACCGACUGUCAGCGGCUGGCAGGCAGCCUGCUGUGCAAUGCUGCUGUGUCUCUCUAUACUGGCCGGAGAGGAAGCAACAGCAUCGUACUCUCUCCCUCCUCCCCCUGCACCCAGGGUUUCUGGCUCUGCAGACCCUCUCAAGGCCGUAAGCAGGGAGGUCCGGUCGCUGCCCCCAGCCUUCUAUUCUCCCUCAGCCGCCGCCAUUUACCACAAGCUGCUGGUGGCCAAUCGCCUGCUCCCGGCUCCCUUAUAUUUGCCUGAACCCGGCUGGCUUCACCUCCUGCUCCUGCAAGUGUCUGAAAAAAGCAGCACUCCUCGUCGGCCAGUAACUCCUAUCACAUCUGAUGAUGAUGACGCUGUGGAAGCAGGUCCAUCAAAAGAAGUAUGGAGCAGCAGAAGUGGCACUUCUGAAAGACAUCACCACAAAAAACCUGUGGCCGAAAAGAAAGCAAGGUCAUAUGUCCCGGCCCAAACACAGCAGGCUCCCCCGCCACGAAGAUUAUCGUCCGUAUGUUCUGUCCCCCUACUCCAAAUUUUGGACACACCUCCAAGGCAUCAUCCACACUCCCCUCAUC